AAUAGAUACCCGGUAGUCACGCCGUAAACGAUGAGUGCUAAGUGUUAGAGGGUUUCCGCCCUUUAGUGCUGCAGCAAACGCAUUAAGCACUCCGCCUGGGGAGUACGGUCGCAAGACUGAAACUCAAAGGAAUUGACGGGGGCCCGCACAAGCGGUGGAGCAUGUGGUUUAAUUCGAAGCAACGCGAAGAACCUUACCAGGUCUUGACAUCCUUAUGCCUUCUCUAGAGAUAGAGCUUUCCCUUCGGGGACAUAAGUGACAGGUGGUGCAUGGUUGUCGUCAGCUCGUGUCGUGAGAUGUUGGGUUAAGUCCCGCAACGAGCGCAACCCUUGAUCUUAGUUGCCAGCAUUCAGUUGGGCACUCUAAGGUGACUGCCGGUGACAAACCGGAGGAAGGUGGGGAUGACGUCAAAUCAUCAUGCCCCUUAUGACCUGGGCUACACACGUGCUACAAUGGAUGGUACAAAGGGAAGCGAAACCGCGAGGUUAAGCCAAUCCCAUAAAACCAUUCUCAGUUCGGAUUGCAGGCUG
rnacentral:rRNA from 1 species